rnacentral:rRNA from 1 species
UACGAAAGGUGCAAGCGUUACUCGGAAUCACUGGGCGUAAAGCGCACGUAGGCGGACUCGCAGGUCAAUUGUGAAAUACCCGGGCUCAACCCGGGAACUGCAGUUGAAACCGCUUGUCUUGAAUACCUGAGAGGGUGGGGGAAUACCUGAUGGAGAAGUGAAAUUCGUAGAGAUCAGGUGGAACACCGGAGGCGAAGGCGCCUGCCUGGCAGUGUAUUGACGCUGAGGUGCGAAAGUGC